ensembl:lncRNA
UUUUUUUUUUUUUGUAAAUACAGGGAUAAAAAUAUAUAACAAAAUAUUUGCAAAGCAAAUCCAAAACAGCAUACCGUAAGGAUUAUAUAAUAUGACCAAGUAGACUUUAUCACAAGAAUUCAAGAUUGCUUCUGUGUAAGAAAAUCAGUGAAUAUAAUACACCACAUAACUAAUAGGAAAUUUUAAAAAAGCAAUUAAUGGGAAAAAGGCAUUUAAGAUAGUCAUUUGAAGAAUAAAAGUUUGGCCAUGAAUAAAUUAUGAUUGUAUAUUGAAAAUGAAAAAAAUCGCAUAUAAAUUUUCUGAAGUAUCUAUGUUGAAUACUUUUAAUAAUAAUCUACUUUCCUUCUCCACCUCCUACAAUAGAUAUAAGUUCAGGCAAAAUUUAUCUGAGAUAAACUGAAAAUGCUGCCACAUGAAGCAUAGCACUAAUUUCCAUUGUUAAAAUUCACAGUCAAAAAGAGAUCAAACCCAGUAUGAACAUAAUUGAAGAAAAUGGUAUUUGAAAACAAAAAAUAAAGUUAUUCAGGAGUUCUCAUUUUUGGCUCAGUGGUAACAAAUCUGACUCAGUGGUAACCACGAGGUCAUGGGUUCAACCCCAGGCCCUACUCAGGUGUAGUUUGCAGACACAGCUUGGAUCUGGCAUUGCUGUGGCUAUGGCAUAGGCUGAUGGCUGCAGCUCUGAUCCAGCGUCUGACCUGGGAACUUCCAUAUGCCACAGGUGUGGCCAUAAAAGUAAAAAAAUAAAAAUAAAAUUAUUCAUAUGAAUGGAGUUUAGAGAAGCAUUAAGGUAUAAAUUUAAUCUUACAGAUCUAUUUGGAGGAGCAAAGUAUCUAAACAUUUAUAGAAAAAAAUACCAGAAUUUGAAUAUUUCUUUAAGCUAACAUUUCAAAACAUGUUGUAGAAGCAUAUGUAAUAUUUCUUUUUAAAGGGGGACCUCUGACUGAACAAUAUACUCUCAAAAUAGUUUUAAAAUCUCAUUUGUGCCUAAUAAUCCUGAGAUUUUUCUUAAUAAAAAUGAGAAUCAAACAAGUUGACUUGGUCAGAAAAUCUCAUCAAGUCUUCCCAUUAUGUUUUUGGUGCUGUUCUUUAUAUUGAUAUUGAACUAAUUUCUAAUAACAAUGAAAGUGUAAAAGACAGUUUACCAUCAACCUUACUUGAAGUGUUUAGUACAAGCAUUUUAAUGUUUAUUGGAAAUUACUCAAUCUGACGCAUUUUUGACCAUCUGCUGGGACUGAGGAAGAGGAGUAAACAAUGCAGAUAUUGUACCUACCUUUGAGUAUAACCUAAUAGGUGUGUCAAAUGUAGAGUAAUUAUACAUAAUAAUUAUAGAUUAAAUAAUUAAAUAGUUAUUUUGUUACAAUUUUAAGAAAUGUAAUAAAAAAUAGUGCACUGUAGAGGGCAGGAUAAAGAUGUGGACUAAGAAUGUGGAGCUUACCUUCCACUGUGAAUAUAUCAAAAGUAUAUCUACAUGUGGAACAACUCUCACUGAAGACUAGGAACUAUCAGGACUCCUGUAACACCAAGGCUGUAUGAAAGAUAACACACAUAAUCAAGGGGGAAGGGAAGAAAAUAAGUUGAGUUGGGACCUGUGCCCCAGGGAGAGGAUUCAGAGGAAAAUGAAGAUGACAUUGGUGGUGAUUCACCCUAGGGAUUGAACACUUUGAACCACAGUUUGGGCACCUUGUCCUGGGUGCCUACAUGAAGAGAAGCUGCCUUGGCUGCUUAAAGGACAGCCAAAGGACAAAUGGAAGGGCUGUGGAAAGCCUUGACUCAGCUUGAGAGGAGCUUGUAUUCAUACAUUUGCAAGACAGCCCCAGAAGCAUGGAAGAGAAAGGUCUGCUCUAGCAGCACCCGGGUGUCCUACAGCUACUUUGCUGCACACCCUAGCCUGAGCCAAGAAAAUGCUUUGCCCCCACAUAGUGCACAUUACAGUGUGGUAAUAGAUCUGAGGCAGCCAUGACCAAGGACUAUGGGAUGCAGAGGCAACUUGGUCCCAGGGUGGAGCCUGGGGAGGACAGCAGCAGCCAUUGUUAUUACAUACUCAAGUGGCACAUCAAAAAAUGUUCAGAUCUCUGACUUUAGCCAAGCCACAACAGCAUACCCUAGUUACAUGCUGAAGGUCCAUGAGUGGUCUGCCUGACCUGCCACAAGAAAGUGGGCAUAGCAGAUGCUGGGGACAGUGAUCAGCUGUGAGGGAAUAAGGAGAUUUUUACCUAAGCCUACAUCUGAGUAGGGCCAUGGCCAUCUGUGCAACCAGCCCAUUGGCCCAUGCUUUGCAUAUGGGCCUUACUUACUUCAGAACUCCCCACUCUGAAGAAAAGGUCUAAGUCCAGGGAGGGUUAGGGAUAGGGUUAGGGUUAGGGUUAAAGAGAGCAAAACCAGGUUGGGCCCAACACUCAGGACUUUUAUGAUCCAGCAGCUUGGGCUAAGAUUCUACCCCCAUUAGGAUGGUGACAGCCACUGAGCACAGGUUCAGAGCUAACCCCUCUAUCUUUAGUCCAACCCACUACAAAGAUGAUAGCUGCCAGCACACCUUGAGGAAAGAUGUGACUUGUGUGCAGGAUGAAUCCAGCUCUCCCACCAAAGCCCUGGGCACAUGCAGCCUGUUUAGGGACAUACUCACAAAAGAACAACCCUUUAAGACAACAAUUGGUAACAGUUUGACCUAAAUUCUUAGAAGCAGAGACAGAUAAACAAAAGGCAGAGGGAUCACUCUCAGUUAAAAGAGAAAGAAAAAAUCCUGAAAAAAUGAAACAAAUAAAUAAUAUACCAGAUAAAAAAUUCAAAGCAUAGCUUUGAACAUUGGUAAUAAAAAUUUAAACUGAACUAGGGAAAAUAAUUGAUAUAAACAACAUUUCAACAAAGAAGAAGAAAUAUAAAAAAGACCCAAUCAAAAAUGAAGAAUUCAGCAACUAAAAUUAAAAAAAACACAUUAGAAGGAAUGAAUAGCAGACUGAUAGAAAAGAAUGUGCACAUGCUCUAGAAGAUAGAAUAAUAGAAAUUACUCAGAACAGCAAAAAGAUAAACAAAUUUUAAAAAAUGAAAGCUAUUUAAGAGAUCUCUGGGAUAACAUUAAGCUUACCAACAUUUGAACUAUAGGCAUCUCAGAAGAAGAGCGAGAGAAGGGGAUUGAAAAUGUAUUUGAGGAAAUUACAGAUGAAAACUUCUUGAAUCUGAAGAAUGGAACUGAUAUCUAGCUAUAGGAAGCACAUAGUCCCAAAUAAGAUGAACCCAAGCAGACUUACACCAAGGCAUAUCAUAAUUUAAAUGGCAGAAUUUAAAGAGAUAAUUCUAAAGGCAACAAGAGAAAAACAAUUAUAAACAAGGGAAUCCUCAUAAGGCUUUCAGGUGUUUUAUCUGCAGAAAUUUUGCAGACCAGCAGGUAAUGUGGCAUGAUAUAUUCAAAGGGAUGAAAGGGAAAAAUCUUCAAUUUGGGAUACUCUAUCCAACUAGGUAAUCAUUUAGAAUAAAGGAGAGAAAAAUAACUUCUCAGAGAAGCAAAAACUAAGAGAGUUCAUCGAUACUAAAUUUACUGUAGAAAUGUUGAGGCAUUUUCUUUAGAUGGAAAAGAAAUAAUAAUCUAUAGGAAAUUGAAAAUCCCACUAGGAAAAAGCAAACAUUUAGUAAGGACUGAGGACUUAAGUAAGCCAGUAUGAAUCUUAAAGGACAGAAACUUGUAAACUUAAGUAAGCCAGUAUGAAUUUUAAAGGACAAAAACUUGUAAAAGCAAAUAUAACUAUAUAUGAAGGAAUAGACAUACAGAUGUAUAUUAUGACAUAAAAAAACCCACAAAAUGUGGAGGAAGACAGUAAAAAAUAUAUUUUAGAAUGUGAUUGAACUUAAGUGACUAUCAGUUUAAAACAACUAUGGAACUAUUGAUUAACAUAUAUGAACCCCAUAGUAAAUACAAAUCAAAAACCUAUAACAGGUACACAAAGACUGAAAAAAAACACAAGUGUACAACUAAAGAAAAGUAUUAACCCAAAAGAGAAGAAAGAGAAAGAAGAAAUGAACAGUGAAUAUCUACAAAAACAACUGGAAGUCAAGGAAUAUAUUGACAAUGAGUAUAUACCUAUUAAUAAUAGUUUGCCAAUGGACUAAAUGCUCCAAUCAAAAGACUUUAGGUGACUGAUUGGAUAAAGAAACAAGGCAUUUCCAUAUGCUGCCUACAAGAGACUCACUUCAGAGCUAAAUACACAGACAAACUUUUCCAAAAAGUGAAGAGGAUGAAGCAAUCUCAAAUUCAUUUUGUGGGACCAUUGUUAGACUUACACCAAAACCCAACAAAGAUACUAAAAAGCAAAGCUAACUACAAGCCAAUAUCUUUGAUGAAUGUAGGUACAAAAAUUGUAAUCUAAAUAUUAACAAAUUGAAUCCAACAAUAUAUAAAAAGAAUCAUAUACCAUGAUCAAUUUGGAUUUAUUCCAGGGGCAUGGGUCAACAAAAGGAUAAUAAUAAUAAUAUCAUCUAAAUAGAUACAGAAAAAGCAUUGGACAAAAUUCAGUAUCCAUUUAUGGAAAAAAAACUCGUCAAAGUGAGUAUAGAAGGAAGAUAUCUCAAUGUAAUAAAGGCUGUUUAUGACAAACAACUAGCAUCAUACUCAAUGGUGAAAAGCUGGAAGCCAUUUACUAAAUUCAAUAGCAAGACAAGGAUGUCUACUCUCACCAUUUCUAUUUAACAUAAUAUUGGAAGUCCUAGCCACAGCUGCCAGAGAACAACAAAUAAAAGGCAUCCAAAUUGGGGGGAGGGAGUAGUAAAACUCACUUUUUUCAAAUAACGUGGUGCUUUAUAUAGAAAACCCUAAAGUUGCCACCUUAAAACUGUUAGAAUAAAUGAAUUCAGUAAAAUUGCAGUAUACAAUAUUAUUAUAUAGAAAUCUUUUGCUUUUAUAUAC